CCCGGGCUGAGCAGCUGCUCCCUGGUUCUCCACGUGCUGCCAGCAGCGCUGGAGCUGCCCGAGCCGGAGCGGAGCCGCUGUUCUCAGCUGCAGCCAGGACCUGCCCCCGGCCCCGCUGGGAUCCAGGGGCCGGUGACCUUCAAGGAGAUGGCUAUGUAUUUCACCAGGGAAGAGUGGGCUCUGCUGGACCCCACUCAGAGAGCCCUCUACUGGGAUGUCAUGCAGGAGAACUAUGAGACUGUGACCUCGCUGGGCCAGAGAAUAACAUCCAUGUUUCGCUGCAGAUCAUCUCGUCCUCCCAGGGGCAAGGAAAUGGCUGCAAUGGAGCUGGCUCAGAGUUUCUGGUUUUCCAACGUGAUAUGAUCUCCCAGCUGGAACAAGGGGAAGAGCCAUGGGUCCCAGAGCUCCAGGGUUCAGAGGAAAGAGAGAUCCUGAGAUCUCCCCGCACAGAUGAGGAAACAUUAAACCAACUCAGAAUCUGUAAGUGCCUGAAGGAAACAUCUAGGAUGCCCUACAAAGCUCUUGGGAAGUCUCUCAGUUCAUUAUUGUCCAUAGCAGGGGUCGCAUCAGCAGGGUAAAUAUAGCUCAAGGCUUCCUAUAGAUGCUAGCAGACACCGGGCAGUAGCUUUCUCCCUUCCCCCUGUGAAGUUGGAUGGGAUGUGAAGGCUGAAUUGAUCCCCUCCUCUCUCCUGUUGGGAGGAGCUGAGUUCCUGAUUUUUAUUUGACCUCUCUCCAGCACUUGUUUUGGUUUGGCCUUCCCCUUUCCAUCCCUGUUUGAGGUUUCUGUUUCUAUCACAGCAGGUGAUGCAAUGACGUGUGAGGUUCAGCACAGACCAGAAAAAGAGCAGGGAAACCAGCCAGGGGAGAAAAUGGAUAAAUUUAUUUCCUGUCAGGGAACUCAGAAGGGCCUUAAGGAAACCAGAAUACAGCAGGAAAUCUGCAGGGAAAAGCAAAAAAAAUACAUGUGCUGAGUGCGGGAAAAACUUCACUUACAGAUCAGGCCUUUCUCAACAUCAGAGAAUCCACACAGGGGAGAGGCCCUGUGAAUGCCAUGAGUGCGGGAAAACUUUCAGUCACAGCUCGCACCUUAUUGGGCAUCAGAGAAUCCACACGAGCGAGAAGCCCCGCAAAUGCCGUCAGCAGGCCUGCACAACUCGUAAAGCGGUGAUGUAGAGAAAUCUCUGUAUUAACUAUCUCUAUAAAUCUUUAUAACGUUGCAUUGUGUUAUUUUGUAUUAAGUAUCUUUCUGUAUUAAGUAUCUUUAUGACAUUGCAUCCGGCAUGAUGUUAUUGUGUAAUUCAUAUGACUUGGCAUUGUGCCUCUCUAUUUUCAUACAACUUUGUAUUAGAUCCCUAUGUAGAAAAUUGGUAGAAAACUUUGUAUCAAAUGUUAUAGCCCCUAAGGAUAGUAUAGUUAAAGUAAAAGAAAACAUGUGCCUUUUUGCUAGAAGUAGAAUAAGAUUUUCCCCCGCACUCUGUAAUCAAUUGCUCUAUUGACUGAAUGAGGUGUGAAUGAGUGAGGCUUGGAAGACACCCACCUCCAGACAGCUACAACAGUUGAAGAGGGAAUGGGAGCCAGAGCAAAGGACAAUACAACUUGUCAAGUGGGCCCAAUAAAGAAGAGCAGACAUAUUGAUGGCCUCAGGGAUUAGAAGCAAGCACCUUCUUUAGAAAACACCCUCUUUGAGCAGCAUUGGGACAACACCCAGAGAAAAGCAGCACAAAGACCAACGGAUGCAGACCCAGAUUUUGAAUCUGGUCUAGAUUUGCAUAAGAGGGAAGCUGCUAUAAAUGCGAGGUGUCUUGCAGAAGGACCCCGGAUCUCGUCUUGUCACCAUCGGACCAUCGAUUUGGAUCGGUAGAAGCCCGGCUCCACCCCUCCCCCAUCUAACUCACCUGGCCAGUGCAGUUAAGGGGAGCAACUAGUUGGUAACAACAGCAAGAUGGAGUGUGUUUAUGUCUGUGUGUGUGCGUGAAUGCAUGACUGUGAUAUAUAUCUCAUGUGCAUAUCAUAGAGUAUUAAUUGAUACCUGUAUUACUAAUAAAUGUGGCAUUUUGCCUUAAUCCCCCUGAAAAGUUCCUGUACAGUACUUUGAGUACAACAGCGAGGGCCACAAUACUCCAAAGAAAACAGCUGAGGACCGAAACCCCCCGGCCCUGCGGAAACACCCCCCACUCAGGACCUCCCGGCCUGGCGGAAACACCCCGCCCAGCCCUGCAGAAACAAACCCUCCUUCCCCAGCGCCGCCCCACCAAAACAGCUGUGGGUCAAAAAGGAAGGUUGGUGGUGGGGAGGUGUUACUUGAUGUUAAAUCAACCAGGGACUCCCAGCCAAAGAGGU